GACGAACGCUGGCGGCGUGCUUAACACAUGCAAGUCGAACGGAAAGGCCCUGCUUUUGUGGGGUGCUCGAGUGGCGAACGGGUGAGUAACACGUGAGUAACCUGCCCUUGACUUUGGGAUAACUUCAGGAAACUGGGGCUAAUACCGGAUAGGAGCUCCUGCUGCAUGGUGGGGGUUGGAAAGUUUCGGCGGUUGGGGAUGGACUCGCGGCUUAUCAGCUUGUUGGUGGGGUAGUGGCUUACCAAGGCUUUGACGGGUAGCCGGCCUGAGAGGGUGACCGGCCACAUUGGGACUGAGAUACGGCCCAGACUCCUACGGGAGGCAGCAGUGGGGAAUAUUGCACAAUGGGCGGAAGCCUGAUGCAGCAACGCCGCGUGCGGGAUGACAGCCUUCGGGUUGUAAGCCGCUUUCGCCUGUGACGGAGCGUGAGUGACGGUAAUGGGUAAAGAAGCACCGGCUAACUACGUG
rnacentral:rRNA from 1 species